GUCCGUGCUGAUUGUCUUGCUAAA
rnacentral:siRNA from 1 species